CCGGCCCCAAGAUGGCUGCCUUUUGGCGUCUCCAGCGCUGUUGAAUGGAGAAAGCUUUAUUGUUCCCUUCGGGCAGGAGUGUUCGUGUUCUCUAUGGCGCUGUCAAUAAAGAACGGCAGUUUGAAUCGGUACUGAACAGACAGAAACUCAAGUAUCCUAGAGUCACUUCAAACUGUGUGUCCAAGGACAACUUUAAACUUCGGAUCCUCCUCCCUCUACGUCUUGAGUUCCGGGUUUACGAUUAUUGCCAGCAAUGGUAGCACACGGCUGCAAACUGAUAUCCUAUUAUCUCAGUGGUUUGGGAGGCAGCGGCAAGAGGACCAGCUUGAACCACAUAAAGAAAGACACUGUCUCAGAAGCCCAACAAACAGAGAGGAUGAAGUGGUUUCUGACUCUGAAGCAGUUCAGAUUACACAUGUUCUACCUGUGCAGCCCUCGAGCACUAAGCGGAUGGAGGUGAGCGCACCAGCCUGGCAUGCAUGUAAGGAACCCUGUGGCUGCUGUGUGCUCUGUGCGAUCCUAAGUCAGCAAAGAAGGCAGUGCUUAGAGAUGAGAGCGGAGGAAGAAUGUGGCAAUGCAGAGGCAGCCAGUGGUAGUUAGAUCACGGUGUGGUUCAUUAUAAGAACCUUGACUUUGAUCUGACACUGAAGCCUUUGAGGCAUUUGUGCAAAGAAAUGCUGGGCUCUGACUGUGUGCUAAGUAGAUCACUCUGGGUGUGUUGAAUAGAAGGUAAGACAGGAAGAGUUAUGGAGAUCACUUAUGAAAUUAUUGCAGAAAUCCUGAUAGUUGGGGAUGGUGAUUUAGACGGCCGUAAGGAAUGAGAGGUGCUAAGACUUACAUAUAUGCAAGUAGAACCAGUGGGGUUUUGAAAGAUUGGAUCUAGUAUAUGAGGAAACACCAGCAUCAGGUUACUAUGGGUUUUUAUUUCUAGUUUUAUUUUAUUUUAUGUGUAUAAGUGUUUGGUCUGCAUGAAUGCCUGCAUACUACAUGCAUGUUUGGUAGCCUUGGAGGUCAAAGGAGGGCUUCAGAUGCCCUGGAACUGGAGUUACAGACAGUUGUGAGCUACCACAUAGACGCUAGG
rnacentral:lncRNA from 1 species